rnacentral:rRNA from 1 species
UACGAAGGGGCAAGCGUUGUUCGGAAUUACUGGCGUAAAGCGCACGUAGGCGGAUUGUUAAGUCGGGGGUGAAAUCCUGGAGCUCAACUCCAGAACUGCCUUCGAUACUGGCGAUCUCGAGUUCGGGAGAGGUGAGUGGAACUGCGAGUGUAGAGGUGAAAUUCGUAGAUAUUCGCAAGAACACCAGUGGCGAAGGCGGCUCACUGGCCCGGUACUGACGCUGAGGUGCGAAAGCGAGGGGAGCAACUG